GAAGCCUAUUCCUAUCGGCCUCCUGAUUGGUUCCGCUUGGUCACGUGGCCGGAGGAUGCAGCUGGAGACUGUAGAUAGGUUUCCAAGGACCAUCACUUCGGGGAUGCUGGGUCCACUGGGCCCAGUGCUCUGAGCUGCACAACUGGACUUCUACCGACCAGGCCUUCUUUUGUACUUAUUUUACUGAUUUUUUUGUAACGCGCUGCUACUCCAAUGCGCCUCUUCCUUCCCGGAUGGUCCACAGUCAGGAAGUUUUUCUGCAGAUUUAAUGACCCAGGAGAUGCCCACCCCAACCCCAUCUCCACCCAGAUGUGGUUCGAGGGCUUUCUCCAGUUCCUCUUGAGCUCUCCAUUUGGUGUCUGCCAGGUCCGGGACGCCUCUGCCCUGUCACUCCUGCCUUGCUCAUACAAACACUGGCCCUGGAGGUGGCUCCCGGCAUCCACACGGCAGCUGGAAGGAUCGAUGCGUGUUCUGUGUAAGUCUCCCUUUCUCCCCUCUUCCUCCGUAACACAGGACUGCUCCCCGGGCCCUCAGAGAACGCCCAAGCCCGUGUUCCAGAUUCUUCACGAUCUAGGCCUUCCACCCCCCCACACACACACACCUUUACGGAGCUGACGCCCAUUCAUCCUUUUGCUUUUCUGUCUGUCUGGCUGUCUGCCUGGCUGUCUUUCUUCUUAUGAGGGUUGAACCCCAGGCCUUGGCACUGAACUACACCCCCAAUCUUUUUUAUUUUAUAUUUUGAGACAAGGUCUCAUUAAGUGGCUGAGUUGCCCAGGCUGGGCUCCAACUUGCCACCCUCCUGCCUCAGCCUCCCGAGCGCUGAAAUGCUUGCACGUGCCGCCUCCCCAGCUCCUGCUCAUCCUUAGCUGUGUCUCCCUCCCGAAGCUUCUCUGGCCCUGCCACCCCACAUGGAGAGCGGCAUCACCCCGAGAUGCCCAGGCCCAGCCCCUCAUGUCCUGGCCACUGCUGUGCACCACCUCCCCAGUGCCUGUGGCUGAGUUCCGGGAGGACAAAUCUGGGUCCCGCUGUUUCCCGCUGGCCCCAGCCCCCACCUCUGUUGAGGGUGUGGGGAGAUCUCAGCGCAUGCGCUUUGCAGCUGCCUGGUGCACAGUAGGACUGCACCCUGGUGGUCACACCAGUGCCCCCCACACACCCCUGGCGUCAUCUCCCCACAAUCUCCUCGCCCCUAAAGCCUCCUUUGGAGCCUGUUUCCAGGAGCUCAACUUAAGGCGACAAGUGACUGCGUAACUCGGGUGCCAGCAACUCGUGAGUACUGUGACACGUGGGGGCCUCCCGCGCUGCGGUCCCGUCAUCUGCAGGCCGCGCUGCCCCCGCGCGCAGACUGCGACAUUUGCAACUGUGUAUUAAUUGAGGGCUCUUUCCCCCCUGCAGAAGCCGAGAUGCGCGCCGGCAGCCUGCGCGCGUGUGUGUGAGUGCAUGUGCGUGUGUGUUUUUAAUGACUUUCUCAUUUUGAGAUCGGGCCAGAUAGCUUUGCUGAAAAGAGUCUGCCCAGCGCCUGGAACAGAGAAUAUUCCGCCGGUUUAAUGGCUCACCCACCCCCAUCCAUCACGGGCGGGCGCGGCGCGGGAUGAAACCCCAGCACUGAUGGCAUCUAAUUGCAGGAGAGCCCAGAGGAGCCGCUGACAGCUGCUUGCCCGGCGCAGAGAGAGCAUCAGCAAACCUCCUUCCAGCCGCAGGCAGGGGCCGUGCUGUGCGCCCACAUCGCGUCCAGCGCGGGGAGCUCUGGGUCCGGGGUCUGGGUUCGAAUGCUAGCAUUGGCCCUGGAGAGCUGUGUGACCCCGGCCAAGUGCUGCACCCUCUCUGGGCUUCAGCCUUUUGCGUGUCAAAUAGGGAUAAAAGUGGGCUUAACUGAGAAGCCGCGAGUGGACAAAGGCCUGAGUGUGUGGGAGGACCCAGGUGAACCCCACAUCCCUCGUCUGGGCACACAGUAAGCUUUCGGGACAACAGGUGACAAUAACAUGAAGCCAUCAUUAUUUGGCGGUUUCUUUCGGUGUUUUGAAACAGUCCUGCCGUUGGCCAGGGUCCAGGCUGGCCUCAAACCCACAGCGGUCUUCCUGCCUCAGCCUCCUGAGUGCUGGGGUGACAGGCGUGCGCCACCCCGCCUGGCUGAAGCUCAUCAAUGUGGAUCCUGCCUGCCUGCUAGAGGCCCAGGUUCAUGCCAGGUCACUGUGAGGGACAGAAAGAAAGCAGUGUCUGGUGUGAGACCUGCCUCCGAGGCCUGCCAGGCAGGAAUCUCAGGGCAGGUUCUGCAAGGUGGGUCGGGAAGUCUUCACUGAUGGCUCAGGGGACAAUGGUGGUGCAUCCCCCUGAGGGACAGCCUUGUUUCUGGUCUUAGGGGUGAUUAUUCCGAGAGGCUCUGCUGUUCCUGGAAUCUGAGUUGACAGGUGUCCUUUAUUCCAUUUGGUUUGGUUUUUUGAGGCGAGGGUCUUGCUCUGAGCCAAGCUGGCCUCAACUCUCAAGGAUCCUCCUGCCUCAGCCUCCCAAGUGCUGGGCACCCAGCCAGGCCACCACACCUAGCAGCUGGGGCUUAGCACAAGGACGGGGGACUUUCAGGAGUCAGUGCACGGAGCCUGGGACAGAGCACAGCAAAAGCUGGCAGCUAAGUGUCCCCUGCAAAUCCUGAAAAUACCUCGUGACUCUUAUCCGAGGCUCAGCCCGGGCAGAAUGAGGGUAAUAAAUGUGACAUUAGCAGACUGGAGACAGACAGACGCCUCCUGUGUGAUUAACGGCCCCAGGCAGGGCUGAAAUGCCAGGGGUGGUGCACAGGGCUGGCAUCCUGGCACUCAGGAGGCUGAGGCAGGAGCGUGGCUUCGAGGUUGGAGGCCAGGCUGGGCUACACUGUGAGUUCAAGGCCGGCCUGGACUACCUGCGAGACCCUGUUUCAAAACUAAAUAAGUAAAAAAAUGAAAAUCAAAAACAAGAUGAAAGCGAGGACCCAGCUUUACCCUGACUUUAGCUCCCCUUGGGCAUCUGCAGACCCCGCCUCGAGGUCCCUGUUAUGAUGUCAACUGGGCAGGUGAGUAUGGGGGUCACAGGGAGGCUCUGUAAAAAAUCGAAAGGUGGGGGGUUACUCAGAGACAGAGAUUUGAUGGCAGAAAAGAAGGGAGACCGGAAGUGGCCAGGAAGAGUGGGGGAGAGAGAGCGGAGGAGGAGGAGCCGGGCAAAUGUCCCCACAGAGGGGGCGAGGGCGGUCAGGCUUCGGAGGCCGGGACGGAGCCGUCACACACGACGUGUCCUUAAUUGCAAUGACACGGGGACACUGUGUUUGUAGAUGCAGCAGCCUGCGCCCUGCCCAUUAAUCAAGGGCUGUUAGUUCCUCUCCAAAGGGGGCUCGGCUGGCAGCGUGGUGUGGGGCUGGGCGGGGGGCCACCACUCAGGCGGUGGGGGGCCCCUCAGGCCUUGUAGCAAAUCAGCCAGACGCCGGGACAGAUGGAUUUCUCUACAACCUCGGUCCCAGCCAGGAGGCCGAGCAGCUGCGAGGUUUGCACAGAGUGGGCCCCUUGGUCCUCCUGAGGCUGGCGCAGGGGUGCGGCCGGGGCUCUGGGCCCGGAGCACCGCGCCCCUCCCUCUGUCCUCAGUUCUGCAUGGCUCCCUCCUGACCCGACCAAAGCCCAAGACCUCCUGCAGCCCACUUUGGGGUGCAGGACCCUGGGUCGAGCCCCCCAUCUUCCUGCUUCCUGCAACCCCUUCCCCUGCACACAGCAGGCACCCAAUAGAUGCCCAGAGGCUGCCCGGGACACCUACGGUCCUGUGCGUUGUGGGACGCUGGGGGUGGACGCUGAGGUCUCAGGACAGCUGGAGAAAGUGUUUUCACCAGGAGUGGGGACGCGUCUGCCGCUUGGGGACCCGUGGGGGGGGCGACACCCCCUCGUAGCCGGUGGACCCUGCAGAGUCCAAGGUGCGCGCUCCGCCCUGCCCCCUCCCCCACAAGACCCGCCCUGCGGUUGCCAGGAGCCGGCGUCCAGCGCCCGCCCACCGGGAGCUCGCAGCCAAUGGCCGUGCUGCCUGAUGAGGUAAUGCGCAGCUCUUCGCUCCCAUUGGCCGGCCGCGUGCUCCGCUGCCCCCUCCCGGCUCUGGAAAGGCCAGGAGCCGGUUCCACGCUGGCCUGGGUCCAGCACCCCCAGAGCGCCGCGGGCUGACCCGGGCACAGCCCCAAGGCGGCACCUGCGUCUGCUCCAUCGCGCUCCCCACCUGCUUAAGCGACUUUCUGGGGCCCAAGUCCCAACAUAGGGGCCGGGGGCUGCCCCCCACCCCCGCCUGGAGGAGCCAGGGCCCCCCCCCCAGCAAUGGGGAGCCCCAGCGGCUUCCCGCACUGCACUGUGCAUUUAUUGAGCGCCCACUGUGUACAGCUGCCCCGGAGCCACAGUAAUGGCCAGAUGAGGCCCGGGUCCCCGCCUUCCUGGGAGUCCCGAGUAACAGCACAGGGGCCCCCCGUGUCUCCCCACGCUGCCUCCGCCGACAGCUAUCCCCCCGCCAGCCGCUGCCGACCGCCCUUGUUUUGCAGAAUCCUGCCUUCCCCUCCCUGCCCACCGCAGCCCUGCCUGAUGGAAUUCUUUCUAACUGUGGGCGGUUUUAAUUUAUUUAUUAUUUUUUUUUUUUUGGAGACGAGCUGGUGGUUUUGUUUGCCUGCGGUUCUUCCUUUCCUCAGCGAAGUGUGAUGUGCACCCCCCGCCCCCCAAAAGGCACACCUCCCAGCGGGGCUGCCCCGGCAAGCUGCCCCCACGCGGGGUCCUUGGGCCGAGCAGACGAGGGCGGGGGCGGGGAGGUGGCGGCCUUUCCCUCGUCAUCUGAAAUUUUGAUACUGCGUUCAUCUUGGAAAAUUGUUUUGGCAUUAAUUUUGAUUUUUUGAAAAAAAUAUUGCAGUCAGACGUUAUUUAGCUUUGUGCUGAGGUGCUGGGUGCUUUUCUGAAGCGUUGCAUGGCGGAGAAAAGCUCUCUCAUUGCGUCUCAGCCCUGACCUGCAGGAGAACGUUCCUUUAUCUAAAAAAGUAAUUUGGAGGUGGUGUGCGCCUGUCAUCCAGCACUCAGGAGGCUGAGGCAGGAGGAUCGCGGCAAGUUUGAGUCCAGCCUGGGCUACAUAGUAAGAUCCCGUGUCCAGAAGAACAUUGUUUUAGUGCAGGGGACUGAACCUAGGAGCUCUGCACAAAGCUACAUCUCCAGCCCCUGUUUACUUUUUUAUUUCGAGGCAGUCUCUCCAAGCCAUUAAAUUGCCAGGACUGGUUGCACAUUUGUGAUUCUCCUGCCUCAGCCUCCUGAGUGCUGGGAUGUCAGGCGAGCACCACCACGGCUGGCUGGGACAUCGCCUUCUGGGUCUGCCCGCUGGUUUUGUGGUUCCCCCAAGCCCUAUGCAUCUCAGUCCUGCCUUUAUCCUCGCUGUGUCGUAUUCCGCUGUAGCUGGCUUGCCAUGCGCGUUCCCUGCCACCGGCUGACAGGCGUCUAGGUCCCUCCUUGUGUUUGCUUUUCAGGAAGGAAGCUGCAAGGCGCCGGCUCCCGCCGCUCCAGGUGGAGUCCGCCUCGGCUCGGCGGGAGACACCGAGGCGGCCGGCAGCUGCUCGCCUCAGAGGCUGCCAAAUGGCUGCAGCUUCGCACCACCUCGGUCCCCACCGCGUUCCUGGCACCCGGCUUCUCCCCGCUGGAUCGGCCUCGCGGGGCGCAGGAUGGAGGGUGCACUUGGCAGUUGCUAAGCGGCCCGGGUUGGAUUCGAACUCGCGGCCUCCUGGCCCAGCUUCCCCGACGGCUGCGAUGGCAGGCGGCCUGUCUGGCUCGGGAUGUGCUCUGCACGGUCCUGACCGCAGGACAUUCUGCCCUCUGAAACGCGCCUCGCUCCGGGUCUCAGGUGAGGUCUGUCCCCAUCUGGGAGGGGAGCCCCGGGCUUCCCAGGGGCAGGGCUGCCCCCCACGCCCCGGGCUGGCCGGAAGCGGAGAUGGGCUUCUUUUCUCUCCCAAGAUGCCUUGCGGCCUCAGGGAGAUGACGUCAGAGGCAGCCUGCUUCACACUGCAGCCCCUGGGUGGGGGUUAGGGAGACCCCGGAGGCAGUGAUGCAAAGAACAGGAGGUGAUGGAAAGGUAGCAAGGAGGAAGGACAGACAGCAUGUGCAAAGGCCCGGGGCUCUGCAAGCUCUGAAGCCUGCUCCACCGAGCUAAAAAAUGGCCCAGGUGCUCCUUCACCUCCAUCCUCCAUGUUGGUGGGACCCCAGGGACAGGAUAGACAGGCCGGGCCACCAGAGAGCGCCAUGAGCACUCUGUCUGCUCCUCCCUUCACUGCCCUCAGCCCUUCAGGGCUCCCACCUCCCUGGCCAAUGCCCAGGUCCUCCUGCAGCCCGCAGGGCCCGACAUGACCCUCCUCUCCCUCCCCACCUCCUAGCUCCCUUUCCACCCCUCCUCGCUCUGCUGCAGCCACUUGGUCUCCUCCUCGAUUCUCCUGCAUCUCGGGGCUCUGUGCUGCCCCAGGACCUUUGCAUGGCCCACACUUGUUGCUCUGCAUAAUUUUACUUUUUUUGGCCUUUACGUUUCCAUGUCAAGAACAUUAAGUUCCAGGAAGCCACCAACCACCUCUCCGUCAGCCUUCACCGGGUUCCCACGCCGUGGCCGCACGCAGUAGGUAGUCAGCAAGGAAAUCAUGAAUCCGUGUGGCCCGGGUGGGUGGCCCUUGCGUGUGUGGGUCCUGGCCGGCAGGGUCCAGCCCUGGACAGCGAAUAGAGAUAUUAGGAGGAGGAGGACAACUCCGGCUCCCGUCUCCUCCCCUCUGCCUUUAAUUAUUUUGUCGACAAGGCCCACACUUCACCCAGUCAAGGUGGCAUUUGAGAGGGACGGGUCCCUUUAGCGUAGCUGACAGCUAAUUUGUGGGAAGUUUAAUUACAGGCGGCGUUAAUUAACUGGCAGAUCGCUGGGCACGGAAGGCGGCCAUCUGUUCCCGAGAACGUCCUCCCUUCUGGGCCUGGCUGUGAGGGGCCGGCAGGCGGGGACAGGCCUGCUGCGGGCGAGGCCGGGACAGGGAGGAGGACCCGAGGGCGGUCGCGGCCUGGCACCCUCCUCCUGCGGAAAUCCCAGCCUCGUCCUUCUGAGCUGUGCGCCCCAGAGCAGAUGACCUGACCUCUCUGGGUUUCCAGUUUCUUGUCCAAAAAAAAAGAAUGUUGAUUCGAGCAGGGUCUUGUACUCUGCUUUCUAGAAUUGUGGGCGCGGGCACCCUCAGGCCAGGAGGAGAGCUGCGUCAGCUCAGUGCAAGCAGACGUCACAGAUGUUUGUCACCACAGCUUGGUUCCUGGUUCCCCCAGACGGCAACACCCAGCAGGCGGGUGACACGGCAACUGGGGUCCACCCACAGCAGGCUGUGACUCCCUCCGGGAGGCUGAGGCAGGAUGAUUGAGGGUCCUGGGAACUAGGGAACUCAGUAUUCAGUGAGAUCCUGUCUCAGAACGGGAGACCCAGAGGCAGAGGCUGCACCCCGUGUGGUUUCCAUGGCUACCGGAAUCUGUGGCCAUGCUUUUGUCCAAAACUCGAAGUAGUAUAAACAAGAUUUUUAUUGUGUGAAUAGUGCUCCAGGGGGCAAGUUUUAAUUUAAAAAAAUAUCAUGGCUCCCUGUUGGUCCCAGAAGUGGAUUUAAACUCAUCUCCAUGGCUUAAAGACCUUGCUGCGUUUUCCUCAAUGGUUUCCUUGCAACCUCCUACCAGCUCCUGCCCCGGGACCUUUGCACAUGCUCGGGCUGCUGUUGCUAUAACACACACACCCCAGAACGUCCUGCAGUAGAGGCUGGGCCAUGCCUCAAGCCUGCCACCUCCCCCAGGAUGCCCACCCUGGUCACCUCAGCCUGAAUCUACCACCUCUAACCCAUACUUAUCUACCCCGGUGAAUCUGCUGAUGCUUCGAUUUCCAGUACUAGGUAAGGAACCCCAGGGCCUUUGCAGUGCGCCCCAUCCCUGGCCCUUUUUAUUCGGAGACAGGGUCUCACUAAGUCCCUCAGCUGCCCAGGCUGGGCUGGAACUUGUGAUCCUCCUGCCUCAGCCUCCCAGAGUGCCGGGAUGACACCGUGGCCAGUACAGUGCCAAGCACACAGUAGGGGCAUCUUCCACAUAGACCGAGAGGCUGCUGAGUGGAAGAGGAGAGGACAGAGGGGCCAGCACCCUGGCUGGGCCGUGGCGUGCUGAGCGACCUCAGGCAACCUGCUUAACCUCUCUGGCCUUCCUGCACAAGGUGGGGCAGGGCACCUCCUCUGUAGGGCUGAGGUGUCUGGAGCAGCCAAACCCACAGGAUGCCGUGAAUCCUGGAGGAGAAGACCCCAGAGAGGAAAAGGAGCGCCCGAGUCCUGAGACGCUUUCACCUCAGCCUUACUGCUGUCCUGCACAUGCCACAGGGCCUUUGCACAUGCCAGGCGCCUGCAUCUUUCCUCCCAACUCUGCUGGCUUUGCAAGUUCCCGUUUAUCCUCUCAGCCUGCUCUCCCGUCCCUUCCCUUUGUGCCCUGUUCAGCACACACACAGUGGUGGCAGGCAGGGCAGGGUUUCCCCGGGGCAGCUGGAGGGGGCCAAGAGGAGGUGGGAAGCUCAGUGUGCACUUCUUAACCCCUCCCGGACCUUUGCACUGCCUCUCCUCCCACCACAUUUAUGCUUCCUGGCUGUGGCCACAAAUCCCCAUCCCCUUCUGGAAUAAAGGGCUUUCUGGAGUCUUC